UACGUAGGGACCAAGCGUUGUUCGGAUUUACUGGGCGUAAAGGGCGCGUAGGCGGCAAUUCAAGUCAGCUGUGAAAUCUCCGGGCUUAACUCGGAACGGUCAGCUGAUACUGCUUUGGCUAGAGUGCAGGAAGGGGCAAUCGGAAUUCUUGGUGUAGCGGUGAAAUGCGUAGAUAUCAAGAGGAACACCUGCGGCGAAGGCGGGUUGCUGGGCCGACACUGACGCUGAGGCGCGAAAGCUAGGGGAGCGAACGGG
rnacentral:rRNA from 1 species